CAUGUAGGCGGGAUGGUCAGUCAGUGGUGAAAUCUCUCGGCUUAACCGAGAAACUGCUACUGAUACUGCCAUUCUUGAGUGCGGAAGAGGGAAGUGGAAUUCCAGGUGUAGCGGUGAAAUGCGUAGAUAUCUGGAAGAACACCAGUAGCGAAGGCGACUUCCUGGUCCGUCACUGACGCUGAGAUGCGAAAGCGUGGGGAGCAAACAGGAUUAGAUACCCUGGUAGUCC
rnacentral:rRNA from 1 species